rnacentral:rRNA from 1 species
CAGUCGCCGCGGGAAUACGAAGGGUGCAAGUGUUAAUCGGAAUUACUGGGCGUAAAGCGUGCGUAGGCGGUGAGUUAAGUCUGCUGUGAAAUCCCCGGGCUCAACCUGGGAAUGGCAGUGGAUACUGGCUCGCUAGAGUGUGUCAGAGGAUGGUGGAAUUCCCGGUGUAGCGGUGAAAUGCGUAGAGAUCGGGAGGAACAUCAGUGGCGAAGGCGGCCAUCUGGGACAACACUGACGCUGAGGCACGAAAGCGUGGGGAGCAAACAGGAUUAGAUACCCCUGUAGUCCCUGUCUCUUAUAA